rnacentral:rRNA from 1 species
UACGUAGGGGGCUAGCGUUGUCCGGAAUCAUUGGGCGUAAAGAGCGUGUAGGCGGUCCGGUAAGUCCGCUGUGAAAGUCGGGGGCUCAACCUCGAAUGCCGGUGGAUACUGUCGGGCUAGAGUGCGGAAGAGGCGAGUGGAAUUCCGUGGUGUAGCGGUGAAAUGCGCAGAUAUCAGGAGGAACACCAAUGGGCGGAAGGCAGCUCACUGGGACGGUACUGACGCUGGAGACGCGAAAGCGUGGGGAGCAAACAGG